rnacentral:rRNA from 3 species
UGCCUUAGUAACGGCGAGUGAAGCGGCAAUAGCUCAAAUUUGAAAGCUGGCCCCUUCGGGGUCCGCGUUGUAAUUUGUAGAGGAUGGUUCGGCGAGGGCUCCCGUCUAAGUCCCUUGGAACAGGGCGUCAUAGAGGGUGAGAAUCCCGUAUGUGAUGGGCUGCCUUAGCCAUGUGAACCUCCUUCGACGAGUCGAGUUGUUUGGGAAUGCAGCUCUAAAUGGGAGGUAAAUUUCUUCUAAAGCUAAAUACCGGCCAGAGACCGAUAGCGCACAAGUAGAGUGAUCGAAAGAUGAAAAGCACUUUGGAAAGAGAGUUAAAAAGUACGUGAAAUUGUUGAAAGGGAAGCGCUUGCAGCCAGACUUGUCCGCAGUUGCUCAGCCUGUCUCCUGACAGGCGCACUCUUCUGCGGCCAGGCCAGCAUCAGUUCGGGCGGUCGGAUAAAGACCCGGGGAAUGUAGCUCCUCUCGGGGAGUGUUAUAGCCCUGGGUGCAAUGCGGCCAGCCUGGACUGAGGAUCUCGCUUCGGCUAGGAUGCUGGCGUAAUGGCUGUAAGCGGCCCGUCUUGAAACACGGACCAAGGAGUCUAACAUCUAUGCGAGUGUUUGGGUGUCAAACCCAUGCGCGUAAUGAAAGUGAACGGAGGUGGGAACCCUCACGGGUGCACCAUCGACCGAUCCUGAUGUCUUCGGAUGGAUUUGAGUAAGAGCAUAGCUGUUGGGACCCGAAAGAUGGUGAACUAUGCCUGAAUAGGGUGAAGCCAGAGGAAACUCUGGUGGAGGCUCGCAGCGGUUCUGACGUGCAAAUCGAUCGUCAAAUUUGGGUAUAGGGGCGAAAGACUAAUCGAACCAUCUAG